GUGAAGUAACACGUGGGUAACCUGCCUGUAAGAACUGGGAUAACUCCGGGAAACCGGGGCUAAUACCGGAUGGUUGUCUGAACCGCAUGGUUCAGACAUAAAAGGUGGCUUCGGCUACCACUUACAGAUGGACCCGCGGCGCAUUAGCUAGUUGGUGAGGUAACGGCUCACCAAGGCGACGAUGCGUAGCCGACCUGAGAGGGUGAUCGGCCACACUGGGACUGAGACACGGCCCAGACUCCUACGGGAGGCAGCAGUAGGGAAUCUUCCGCAAUGGACGAAAGUCUGACGGAGCAACGCCGCGUGAGUGAUGAAGGUUUUCGGAUCGUAAAGCUCUGUUGUUAGGGAAGAACAAGUGCCGUUCAAAUAGGGCGGCACCUUGACGGUACCUAACCAGAAAGCCACGGCUAACUACGUGCCAGCAGCCGCGGUAAUACGUAGGUGGCAAGCGUUGUCCGGAAUUAUUGGGCGUAAAGGGCUCGCAGGCGGUUUCUUAAGUCUGAUGUGAAAGCCCCCGGCUCAACCGGGGGAGGGUCAUUGGAAACUGGGGAACUUGAGUG
rnacentral:rRNA from 1 species